UUGGCCGGGCGACGGUUGUCCCGGUUUAAGCGUGUAGGUGUGUGUUCCAGGUAAAUCCGGUUCACUUUAACACUGAGGCGUGACGACGAGGCACUACGGUGCUGAAGCAACAAAUGCCCUGCUUCCAGGAAAAGCCUCUAAGCAUCAGGUAACAUCAAAUCGUACCCCAAACCGACACAGGUGGUCAGGUAGAGAAUACCAAGGCGCUUGAGAGAACUCGGGUGAAGGAACUAGGCAAAAUGGUGCCGUAACUUCGGGAGAAGGCACGCUGACACGUAGGUGAAGUGAUUUACUCAUGGAGCUGAAGUCAGUCGAAGAUACCAGCUGGCUGCAACUGUUUAUUAAAAACACAGCACUGUGCAAACACGAAAGUGGACGUAUACGGUGUGACGCCUGCCCGGUGCCGGAAGGUUAAUUGAUGGGGUCAGCGCAAGCGAAGCUCCUGAUCGAAGCCCCGGUAAACGGCGGCCGUAACUAUAACGGUCCUAAGGUAGCGAAAUUCCUUGUCGGGUAAGUUCCGACCUGCACGAAUGGCGUAAUGAUGGCCAGGCUGUCUCCACCCGAGACUCAGUGAAAUUGAACUCGCUGUGAAGAUGCAGUGUACCCGCGGCAAGACGGAAAGACCCCGUGAACCUUUACUAUAGCUUGACACUGAACAUUGAGCCUUGAUGUGUAGGAUAGGUGGGAGGCUUUGAAGUGUGGACGCCAGUCUGCAUGGAGCCGACCUUGAAAUACCACCCUUUAAUGUUUGAUGUUCUAACGUGGACCCGUUACCCGGGUUGCGGACAGUGUCUGGUGGGUAGUUUGACUGGGGCGGUCUCCUCCUAAAGAGUAACGGAGGAGCACGAAGGUUGGCUAAUCCUGGUCGGACAUCAGGAGGUUAGUGCAAUGGCAUAAGCCAGCUUGACUGCGAGCGUGACGGCGCGAGCAGGUGCGAAAGCAGGUCAUAGUGAUCCGGUGGUUCUGAAUGGAAGGGCCAUCGCUCAACGGAUAAAAGGUACUCCGGGGAUAACAGGCUGAUACCGCCCAAGAGUUCAUAUCGACGGCGGUGUUUGGCACCUCGAUGUCGGCUCAUCACAUCCUGGGGCUGAAGUAGGUCCCAAGGGUAUGGCUGUUCGCCAUUUAAAGUGGUACGCGAGCUGGGUUUAGAACGUCGUGAGACAGUUCGGUCCCUAUCUGCCGUGGGCGCUGGAGAACUGAGGGGGGCUGCUCCUAGUACGAGAGGACCGGAGUGGACGCAUCACUGGUGUUCGGGUUGUCAUGCCAAUGGCACUGCCCGGUAGCUAAAUGCGGAAGAGAUAAGUGCUGA
rnacentral:rRNA from 1 species